rnacentral:rRNA from 1 species
AGGAUGAACGCUGGCGGUCUGCUUAACACAUGCAAGUCGAACGGAGUACCUCGGUACUUAGUGGCGGACGGGUGAGUAACGCGUGAGAAUCUGCCCUUAGGUCGGGGACAACCAUUGGAAACGAUGGCUAAUACCGGAUAAGCCGAGAGGUAAAAGAUUAAUUGCCUAGGGAAGAGCUCGCGUCUGAUUAGCUAGUUGGUGAGGUAAAGGCUCACCAAGGCAUCGAUCAGUAGCUGGUCUGAGAGGAUGAUCAGCCACACUGGGACUGAGACACGGCCCAGACUCCUACGGGAGGCAGCAGUGGGGAAUUUUCCGCAAUGGGCGAAAGCCUGACGGAGCAAGACCGCGUGAGGGAGGAAGGCUCUUGGGUUGUAAACCUCUUUUCUUGGGAAGAACAAAAUGACGGUACCCAAGGAAUCAGCAUCGGCUAACUCCGUGCCAGCAGCCGC